rnacentral:rRNA from 1 species
CCUACGGGUGACAGCAGUGGGGGAUAUUGCACAAUGGAGGAAACUCUGAUGCAGCGACGCCGCGUGAGGGAAGACGGUCUUCGGAUUGUAAACCUCUGUCUUUGGGGAAGAAAAUGACGGUACCCAAAGAGGAAGCUACGGCUAACGACGUGCCAGCAGCCGCGGUAAUACGUAGGGAGCGAGCGUUGUCCGGAAUUACUGGGUGUAAAGGGAGCGUAGGCGGGCGAGAAAGUUGAAUGUGAAAUCUACCGGCUUAACUGGGAGCUGCGUUCCAAACUUCUUGUCUUGAGUGAAGUAGAGGCAGGCGGCAUUCCUAUUGUAGCGGUGACCUGCUUAGAUCUUCGGAGGAACCCCAGUGGCGCCGGCGGCUUGUUGGGCUUUACCUGACGCUGAGGCUC